UUUACUCAUGACUACCUUUCUAAAAUCUCUCUCUCUCUCUCUCUCUCUCUCUCUCUCUCUCUCUCUUCCGUGCAGACUCCAUUGCUAAUCAUCUCCUUCUGGGCCUCCUCUUCAUUUCAGCCAUGUCUCUAACGACUUUGAUGUUCCGAUCACUGGUCAGGCUAGUGACGUCGCUCGUUGGUGAUCCUGCCGCCUCCGUGACCACCAUCCUGUACUAUAGCACCCUGCUGCCUCAGAGCGUCGUCCUAGAGAGGCUGGUCCGGCACGAGCUGCUCGACCAUGAGAACUACCUGUUCCAUUUUCUCGUCAAUUUCUUGAGGUGUUUUUGGUGAUAUAGGGGUUUUUGGGAUUCGCUUGUUCUUUCUUUUCGGUCAAUGCCCCUUGAAAGAUUCAUUUUCCUUGCCAGAGACCCAUUCAUUAAUUGGUGAAUGUAGGGGUGAUUGUAAUUGGAUCGUCAUCUACGACGAACAUUUUAAUCUAUUAACUCGAAAUCAAAUACCAGAAUCUUGUCUCUCAAA